AGGUUAUAAUGGUUCUUGGUAUGUGGAUGCAGCAGCGGACUGAAUUUCCAAAUUGCUGCACAUCUUGUCUUUCUUUCUUGCCAAAGGUGCCGCUCAAUGUAUGCUCAUAUUACUUGUGUAAAUACUCCGUACAUCUGAUGUGAAAUUGAAAAUAGCCGGAGUAUGCAAGGGAACUCUGUUUUUUCACAUAAAGUUUGGUCCUUUCCCCCUUUUUCUCUUCCUUCAACGGUUAAACCUACACAUACUCUCAUCUGCCCAUUAAAGCUACAAAAUUCAACCCGUGGGACAAAAGGUUUCCUUUUUCCACGUUGCCUACUCUUCUCAUUAUGCCCCCACGAAAAGUUUGCUUCUUUUUAAGGUCUAUGCAACAACUGCUGAAACUGAAUAGCAAAAGUGGUGGGAAAAAAGUGUGCAUAAUAUGAUCUACAUACAUUCAACUCAAGAGUUUUUAGACGAGGAAAGAUCUCUUUUCCAGCAAGUAAAAGAAAAUGAAGAACCAUUUUCUACCUGUGAAAUAUCAAGUAACAAGAGGCAUUCUGUGUACAAAGACUAUGAACUAAAAUAAUAUGGAGAUAGAAGUGCAAGUGGAAGUGCUCACUUUGUUUCCAAUGGAUUUGACCAGUAUUUGUAGUGUGAAAACUUUGGAUCAUCCAAAUCUUCAGCUAUCCCAUAUGAAAAUUGAGCAUCUCCGCGAGCCAUCAUUUUUGGGGCAACAAAGUUGAGCAAAUCCAAAAUAUCUCCAGCUGAAUAAACCUUGUAUUCUUCCACUGCUUUGAUACCAGCAACACCCAUGUCAUAGUAUUCGGUCCACACAUCGCAUGUGUUAUUUGCAACAUUAGUUCCCUUCACUACACCCUGCAUGUAAAAAAACCAUAGCUACUUCCAGGCAACAAGUGAGUGGGAAAGAGAUAAUUUCGCAAAGCUUGUAAGUACCAGGUAUUAAGGCCGCUAUGCAGUUAUUAGUUUUAUUUGUUUUUCUUUGCUGUAUAAGGAUCAAAAUUUCUAGCA